rnacentral:rRNA from 1 species
GAUGAACGCUGGCGGCGUGCCUAAUACAUGCAAGUCGAGCGAACAGACGAGGAGCUUGCUCCUCUGACGUUAGCGGCGGACGGGUGAGUAACACGUGGAUAACCUACCUAUAAGACUGGGAUAACUUCGGGAAACCGGAGCUAAUACCGGAUAAUAUAUUGAACCGCAUGGUUCAAUAGUGAAAGACGGUUUUGCUGUCACUUAUAGAUGGAUCCGCGCCGCAUUAGCUAGUUGGUAAGGUAACGGCUUACCAAGGCAACGAUGCGUAGCCGACCUGAGAGGGUGAUCGGCCACACUGGAACUGAGACACGGUCCAGACUCCUACGGGAGGCAGCAGUAGGGAAUCUUCCGCAAAGGGCGAAAGCCUGACGGAGCAACGCCGCGUGAGUGAUGAAGGUCUUCGGAUCGUAAAACUCUGUUAUUAGGGAAGAACAAAUAUGUAAGUAACUAUGCACGUCUUGACGGUACCUAAUCAGAAAGCCACGGCUAACUACGUG